GUGAGCUCUCUGAUGAAGGUGUACUCAGCUGUGCUGUGGAAUGAGGCCAGAUGUCCACCGAGUGUCUCACAGGAUCUCUGAGGAGGAAGAUGAGGUGCACAGAAGAUAAAAAGUCAUCAGGCCAGUUCUUCAUGCUGCUUUUAAAGAUGAAACAGCGACCUCCAAACCAAGUCCAACCAGGAGGGCAGGAAGCAUCUUCAAAAUGAUUGCAAAGUUAAAAGAGUGAAGGCAAAGGACCAACAAGUGCUCAGCAUCUCUGGGAACUCCUUCAAGACUGUUG